UGGGAAUUUUGGACAAUGGGCGAAAGCCUGAUCCAGCAAUGCCGCGUGUGUGAAGAAGGCCUUCGGGUUGUAAAGCACUUUUGUCCGGAAAGAAAUCCUUGGCUCUAAUACAGUCGGGGGAUGACGGUACCGGAAGAAUAAGCACCGGCUAACUACGUGCCAGCAGCCGCGGUAAUACGUAGGGUGCAAGCGUUAAUCGGAAUUACUGGGCGUAAAGCGUGCGCAGGCGGUUUGCUAAGACCGAUGUGAAAUCCCCGGGCUCAACCUGGGAACUGCAUUGGUGACUGGCAGGCUAGAGUAUGGCAGAGGGGGGUAGAAUUCCACGUGUAGCAGUGAAAUGCGUAGAGAUGUGGAGGAAUACCGAUGGCGAAGGCAGCCCCCUGGGCCAAUACUGACGCUCAUGCACGAAAGCGUGGGGAGCAAACAGGAUUAGAUACCCUGGUAGUCCACGCCCUAAACGAUGUCAACUAGUUGUUGGGGAUUCAUUUCCUUAGUAACGUAGCUAACGCGUGAAGUUGACCGCCUGGGGAGUACGGUCGCAAGAUUAAAACUUAAAGGAAUUGACGGGGUCAUAGCUGUUUCCU
rnacentral:rRNA from 1 species